GAAUAUGUGAAGCAAUGCCAUAUUUUACUUAAAAGGUCGUGGCCGGAUUUUUAAAAAUGGAAAAGUAGAAGAUAAUCGGGUUUUUACAUCGACUUCCUUGUAUACUGCAAGCAGCUUUUUUUCUUUGAGUUGUUGAAUGUGGGACACAAUAGCACUGGAAAUGUCUCAACGUUAUUAUAAUUGUACAAUUGAGCACGAAUUUAGCCAAUCUGCACAGUUUUUUUCGAUUUGUUUCAAGUUUUCCGUGAAAAUGUUCAAUUUAAUCAACAAACUGUAAAAAAAAGUUCUUCAAAGGGUCUACAAAUAACCCUUAUCGUUCUCAAGGCUAGUGACAGGUAUUAACACUUAAAUUCAAUGCAAUUCGCAUCUUCUUCUGCAAUUUUCUUCUUCACUCAGUUUAACAUUGCUAACAACUCCGAAAAUCUAAACUUUAGGUUAUGUUACGAAGAUUCAAAUAUCUGCGAAGACGCAGAAAAGCGCAAGAAAAAAUAACAUCAAUUGGAUUAAGAACUGAAUACUCUACAAUAUCUAUGCAGUUUAAUGCUUCCGGCGGGAGCCGAACACUUUGUAAGUCUAUUCAAAGACAAAUUUUCGUCACUAAUAUGGACUUGUUAAGAAACUAGCCAUUAAACAUAUUAUGA
rnacentral:lncRNA from 1 species